rnacentral:rRNA from 1 species
GUCUUUUUGAAAUAAUUUAAAGUUUAAUCUGCCCACUGAUAGAAAAUUAAAGGGCUGCAGUAUAAUGACUGUACAAAGGUAGCAUAAUCAGUAGUUUUUUAAUUGAAAACUUGUAUGAAAGAUUUGAUGAAAUAUAGACUGUCUCUAAUUUAUAGAUUGAAUUUUAUUUUUUAGUAAAAAAGCUAAAAUAAAUUUAAAAGACGAGAAGACCCUAUAGAGUUUUAUAUUUAAUUUUAUUUUAAAAUUAUAUAAAAAUUAAUAUUAAAAAUAAAAUUAAAUAUUAUAUUGGGGUGAUAGAAAAAUUAAAUUAACUUUUUUUAAAAAUUAAACAUAAAUAAAUGAUUAUAUGAUCCAUAGAUAAUGAUUAUAAGAAAAAAUUACCUUAGGGAUAACAGCGUAAUAUUUUUUUUUAGUUCAAAUAAAAAAAAAAGUUUGCGACCUCGAUGUUGGAUUAAGAUAAAAUUUAAAUGCAAAAGUUUAAAAAUUUUGAUCUGUUCGAUCAUUAAAAUCUNACA